rnacentral:rRNA from 1 species
UACGGAGGGCGCGAGCGUUAAUCGGAAUUACUGGGCGUAAAGCGCGCGUAGGCUGUUGUGUAAGUUGGGGGUGAAAUCCCACGGCUCAACCGUGGAACAGCCCUUGAUACUGCGCGACUUGAAUCCGGGAGAGGGUGGCGGAAUUCCAGGUGUAGGAGUGAAAUCCGUAGAUAUCUGGAGGAACAGCAGUGGCGAAGGCGGCCACCUGGACCGGUAUUGACGCUGAGGCGCGAAAGCGUAGGGAGCAAACAGG